CCGAAGUAAUGCGGAGUCCGGACCGCCAAGCUCGAGCUUGCGGCCAUGUACGAUGAGGAAGGCAAGCUAACGCAUCGACGACUGGGCACCUCCCAACGGCGUCAACAUCAGACAAGUCGAACGACAAGAAAAGUUCGAUGGACGAUAAUUUAAUACAACACGCGGAUGAGGUAACACAAAACACCCUUUUCAUUCCAUUUCUAAAAUACACACUACAAAGCCCGGAAGGCCAAGGAAAGAAAAGCAAAAUGACAAAAGCGGGACAAAACAACAAAAAGGGAAGUAUAUACAUGAAAAGAUAGAAGGAUGAAAAGAGCUCUAAGGAGGCUCUACUCCCUCCGACCUAGAGUUAUCUGCUCCACCCCUCAUCCAGGACUGCCUUAGAUUCUCAAUUUCUUCUUCUAGCUCCCCCCUUCUCUGCAGCGCAUCCUGGAGCGCCCAACGAAGUCGCUGGCUCUCGACCUCCGCCUCUCGAUGCCUCUUCCUCAAGACCUC
rnacentral:lncRNA from 1 species